rnacentral:rRNA from 1 species
UCCUAAGGUAGCGAAAUUCCUUGUCGGGUAAGUUCCGACCUGCACGAAUGGCGUAACGACUUGAGCGCUGUCUCCACCAUGAACUCGGCGAAAUUGCAGUACGAGUAAAGAUGCUCGUUACGCGCGGAAAGACGGAAAGACCCCGGGACCUUUACUAUAUCUUGAUAUUGGUACUCGGAACGUUCUGUGUAGCAUAGGUGGGAGACUUUGAAGCGGCACGCCAGUGUUCGUGGAGUCAAAAAUUGAAAUACCACUCUGAACGUUUUGAGUUUCUAACCUCGGCCCAUUAUCUGGGUCAGGGACAGUGUCUGGUGGGUAGUUUAACUGGGGCGGUUGCCUCCCAAAAAGUAACGGAGGCGCUCAAAGGUUCCCUCAGCCUGGUUGGUAAUCAGGUGUCGAGUGUAAGUGCACAAGGGAGCUUAACUGUGAGACAGACAUGUCAAGCAGGUGCGAAAGCAGGAACUAGUGAUCCGGCGGUGGCUUGUGGAAGCGCCGUCGCUCAACGGAUAAAAGGUACCCCGGGGAUAACAGGCUGAUCUUGCCCAAGAGUCCAUAUCGACGGCAAGGUUUGGCACCUCGAUGUCGGCUCGUCUCAUCCUGGGGCUGGAGUAGGUCCCAAGGGUUGGGCUGUUCGCCCAUUAAAGAGGCACGCGAGCUGGGUUCAGAACGUCGUGAGACAGUUCGGUCCCUAUCUCUAGUGUGUGGGUUGUUUCGCCAGAAGCACGGCCCAUUAGCUACAUUCGGAAGAGAUAACCGCUGAAAGCAUCUAAGCGGGAAGCUCGCUUCAAGAUUAGGUUUCCCAUUGGUUUACCAAGUAAGGCCCCCAAGAGACUAUUGGGUUGAUAGGCCGGAAGUGGAAGAGGCGCAAGCCUUGGAGCUGACCGGUACUAAUAGGCCGAGGAUUUAACUACAA